GCAUAUAAGACAGACUUCUUCCCAGUAAGGUCCCAUGCCUUUAUUAAAUUUGUUUUAAUCAUGGACAACACAUUAGCCUAUAGACUGUAAAUAACUUGGGCUGAAGACUUCCAAAAAUUUGAAUGCAUAUUUGUUCCAUGAUAACUUAUGCUUUCCUACCUUUUUUUCUUUUUUUAUUUGUUUUAAUUUUUUUCAUCAUUAAUAUUUUGAGAUUAAAAUGACAAGGUUUGAUUGUGAUAUUUAACUCUACCUAUUGUAAAGUUAGAUAAACUGUGAGAAUGCACAUGUUUCUCUAUCUUUUGUUGAUAUUGAAUUUUUUGUUCUGGGCUAUCAGCAUGCUUUAUGGUUGUAGUUUAGCUGUUAGUGGUGAACUUGUGAUAGCCUAAUAGACCACUCCAGGAUCAAUAGUGGUUCUACUUUAGCUAUUGGUAGUGAACUUGUGAUAGACUACUCCAUUAUCGAUUUUCAUUGCCUGUUAAUUUUCCAGAGGGUAUUUGGAGUAUCAACUCUG
rnacentral:misc_RNA from 1 species